rnacentral:rRNA from 1 species
ACGGAAUAGAUACCCAGGUAGUCCACGCCCUAAACGAUGUCUACUAGUUGUCGGGGAUUCAUUUCCUUGGUAAACGCAGCUAAACGCGUGAAGUAGACCGCCUGGGGAGUACGGCCGCAAGGUUAAAACUCAAAGGAAUUGACGGGGACCCGCACAAGCGGUGGAUGAUGUGGAUUAAUUCGAUGCAACGCGGAAAACCUUACCUACGCUUGACAUGCCAGGAAACUUUCCGGAGAUGGAUUGGUGCCCGAAAGGGAACCUGGACACAGGUGCUGCAUGGCUGUCGUCAGCUCGUGUCGUGAGAUGUUGGGUUAAGUCCCGCAACGAGCGCAACCCUUAUCCUUAGUUGCUACGCAAGGGGCACUCUAGGGAGACUGCCGGUGACAAACCGGAGGAAGGUGGGGAUGACGUCAAGUCCUCAUGGCCCUUAUGUGUAGGGCUUCACACGUCAUACAAUGGUCGGUACAGAGGGUCGCCAACCCGGCAGGGGGUAGCCAAUCCCAGAAAACCGAUCGUAGUCCGGAUUGCAGUCUGCAACUCGACUGCAUGAA